UACAGAGGUCUCAAGCGUUGUUCGGAUUCAUUGGGCGUAAAGGGUGUGUAGGAGGUCGGGUAAGUCAGGUGUGAAAUCUCACAGCUUAACUGUGAAACUGCGCUUGAUACUGCCCGGCUAGAGGAUCGGAGGGGGUAACGGAAUUUAUGGUGUAGCAGUGAAAUGCGUAGAUAUCUGCAGGAACACCCGUGGCGAAAGCGGCGAGCUGGAUCACUACUGACGCUGAGGAACGAAAGCUAGGGGAGCAAACAGG
rnacentral:rRNA from 1 species